rnacentral:rRNA from 1 species
UCGGGUUGUAAAGCACUUUUGUCCGGAAAGAAAACUUCUGCCCUAAUACGGUGGGAGGAUGACGGUACCGGAAGAAUAAGCACCGGCUAACUACGUGCCAGCAGCGCGGUAAUCGUAGGGUGCGAGCGUUAAUCGGAAUUACUGGGCGUAAAGCGUGCGCAGGCGGUUCGUUAAGACAGAUGUGAAAUCCCCGGGCUUAACCUGGGAACUGCAUUUGUGACUGGCGAGCUAGAGUAUGGCAGAGGGGGGUAGAAUUCCACGUGUAGCAGUGAAAUGCGUAGAGAUGUGGAGGAAUACCGAUGGCGAAGGCAGCCCCCUGGGCCAAUACUGACGCUCAUGCACGAAAGCGUGGGGAGCAAACAGGAUUAGAUACCCUGGUAGUCCACGCCCUAAACGAUGUCAACUAGUUGUUGGGGAUUCAUUUCCUUAGUAACGUAGCUAACGCGUGAAGUUGACCGCCUGGGGAGUACGGUCGCAAGAUUAAAACUCAAAGGAAUUGACGGGGACCCGCACAAGCGGUGGAUGAAUGUGGAUUAAUUCGAUGCAACGCGAAAAACCUUACCUACCCUUGACAUGGUCGGAACCCUGCUG